CACAGAUGGAGGUGGAGGGACCGCUACGUUCACGGCCACAGUCAGCAUCACGGACGUGAACGACAACACUCCGGUCUUCAGUCCUGCAACUUACACGACCAGCGUUAAUGAGGACACCGCCGCGGUGGGUGAUAGCGUCAUCACCGUGGCGGCAACCGACGCAGACGACGGCGCCUUCGGAACCCUGGAGUACGUCAUUUCUGCCGGAAACGGCGAUGGCAUCUUCACAAUCAGUUCUACCACCGGCCUCAUCACUAUCCAGUCGACCACCUCGCUAGACUAUGAGACCACCACGCAGUACGCUCUAACCGUCCUAGGUAAGGACGGGGCCACGGGAGCCGACCAGAGAACCGCCACGGUGACAGUCUACGUGGAUGUGGACCCGGCAAACGAGUUCGACCCGGUGUUCACUUCGCCCAGUAGCUCCCCGUUCGCGGUGUCCAUCGCCGAGAGCGCGGCGUUGGGGAGUCAGCUGUACACUGUUGUGGCGACGGACCAGGAUAGCGGAUCGGA